rnacentral:misc_RNA from 1 species
GUGCUCACUAAAUCCUCCAUACAUCUGCAACAAAUAUUAAAGAAAGAGAACAUAAAUGAGCAAAACAACAACAUUUUUUAUCAUAGGAUGAAAAUAAAUAAUGCAAAGCAUUUUUCAUAGGGAGAGAGAACAAUUUGGAGGCUUUCUAAAAACAAUCACAAUGGAUAUUUCUAAACAUUUCCUCCAAAGAAAGAAAUUUGCUACAACCACCACAACAGAGAUUGUUACAUCAACUAGUGCAAAGAUGGCAAUGAACUAAACGAGCACAUAAAACAAAAACAUUUAGUCAUUAUUGCAGAAGGAAACUGAUAGUGGAAUUUGAUCAUGCAAAACUGAUCUACCAUUUACAAUCUAACAGAUGUUCCAUUAAACUCUCAGAAACAUGGAUAGAUCCAAGUCACAAAAACUAUCACAGCAUAAUGCAAUAAUUUGUAUUGAGCACAUUUUCAAAUUAGCAAGGAUUCUGUAGUUUUGAUGGAAGUCAAAGAAAAUAAGAACAAAUGACUGAUUUUAUAAGUUUGGUGAUAAGAUUCUGUUUUUCUGGGGAAAGGAAGCUAAUGGACAAUCAAACAAGUAUGACUUUGGAAGUUGAGAUAAGGUAUAUUUUCUAUUUGUCUGCACAUCCUUUCUUGAGAGGCUUUUCAUACCAACCUACUUCAACUAUUAUAUUAAAAUCAUCAUGAAUAUACAUUUAUUUUUUCAAUCUAGACUCUAGACACCAUAUAUAUAUGUAUACACA